GUCGAACGAACUCUGGUAUUGAUUGGUGCUUGCAUCAUGAUUUACAUUUGAGUGAGUGGCGAACUGGUGAGUAACACGUGGGAAACCUGCCCAGAAGCGGGGGAUAACACCUGGAAACAGAUGCUAAUACCGCAUAACAACUUGGACCGCAUGGUCCGAGUUUGAAAGAUGGCUUCGGCUAUCACUUUUGGAUGGUCCCGCGGCGUAUUAGCUAGAUGGUGGGGUAACGGCUCACCAUGGCAAUGAUACGUAGCCGACCUGAGAGGGUAAUCGGCCACAUUGGGACUGAGACACGGCCCAAACUCCUACGGGAGGCAGCAGUAGGGAAUCUUCCACAAUGGACGAAAGUCUGAUGGAGCAACGCCGCGUGAGUGAAGAAGGGUUUCGGCUCGUAAAACUCUGUUGUUAAAGAAGAACAUAUCUGAGAGUAACUGUUCAGGUAUUGACGGUAUUUAACCAGAAAGCCACGGCUAACUACGUGCCAGCAGCCGCGGUAAUACGUAGGUGGCAAGCGUUGUCCGGAUUUAUUGGGCGUAAAGCGAGCGCAGGCGGUUUUUUAAGUCUGAUGUGAAAGCCUUCGGCUCAACCGAAGAAGUGCAUCGGAAACUGGGAAACUUGAGUGCAGAAGAGGACAGUGGAACUCCAUGUGUAGCGGUGAAAUGCGUAGAUAUA
rnacentral:rRNA from 1 species